GUGUCAGCCGCCGCGGUAAGACGAACCGUACAAACGUUAUUCGGAAUCACUGGGCUUAAAGGGUGCGUAGGCGGCUCAGAAAGUUGGGUGUGAAAUCCCUCGGCUCAACCGAGGAACUGCGCCCAAAACUACUGAGCUCGAGGGAGACAGAGGUAAGCGGAACUUAGGGUGGAGCGGUGAAAUGCGUUGAUAUCCUAAGGAACACCAGUUGCGAAAGCGGCUUACUGGGUCUCUUCUGACGCUGAGGCACGAAAGCUAGGGGAGCGAACGGGAUUAGAUACCCCGGUAGUCCUAGCCGUAAACGAUGAGCACUGGUUUGGAGGGUCCUCCAUAGCCUUCUAGACGUAGCGAAAGUGUUAAGUGCUCCGCCUGGGGAGUAUGGUCGCAAGGCUGAA
rnacentral:rRNA from 1 species